GACGAGCCACACGAACGUUAUUCGGAAUCACUGGGCUUAAAGGGUGCGUAGGCUGCGCAGAAAGUUGGGUGUGAAAUCCUACAGCUUAACUGUAGAAGUGCACUCAAAACUACUGUGCUCGAGGGAGACAGAGGUGAGCGGAACUGAGGGUGGAGCGGUGAAAUGCGUUGAUAUCCUCAGGAACACCGGUGGCGAAAGCGGCUCACUGGGUCUCUUCUGACGCUGAGGCACGAAAGCUAGGGUAGCGAACGGG
rnacentral:rRNA from 1 species